AAGAGCUCUGCUCCCUAUAUGCACAACACCCUCCACUGAUAAAUGCUUAUACCGGACUUCAAUCCUUGGGAUCUCAAUCCCCACCCUAUCAAUCCUGUCUCUAAGUCUCCUAAGAAACUUCUCAUUAUCACCUUCAGCAUCCUUGAGUAUGCUAUCCAUCAACUGUUUCUUAUCUUCCAUUCCAAGAUUCCUUAUAUCCACCUCAUUUUGAAUAACUUUUCCAUUAUCAA
rnacentral:misc_RNA from 1 species